GGGACCGCUGGAUUAAGGCGACAAAAAUUGGUCUCCUUAAUAUUUUCAGUCCAGAUUUGAUGUAUCAAAUGUCAAUAAAAAUGUCCAUUGACAGUAAGUUGAUAAGCUUGAAUGUUUAUUUACGAGAUCAUUUCAUUGUUUUAAAUCUUAUUAUCUUUUAAUAUUAAAAAAAAUAUUCUUAAACUUUUGUGUGUGUAUAUUUGUGUAUCCAUAAAAAUAGCUAUUAAGGCGACCAGGGAAAAAAUCAUAAUUUUGGUCAAAAAUAGCUAUAUACUAAGCAUUUUUUAUUUGUUUUACUUUAUUUAAAGCCUAUUGUAUAUUAUCCCGAAGUUUCAUUCCAUAAAAAACAGAAAUAAGGAAAUUCGAUAUUUCGUGUACCACCAGCAUCCAAAUUUUCAAGUAUACAGAAAUUUAACUUUCCGGAAUAUAACGGAAAUUUUCCGGGUAUCUCCGUGGUACCAUCUCCGUGCAAUUAUGCAGUAUGGCGUUCAUCUCUUACGGAAAGAGAAUGGUAACUUGUUGCUGCUUGGACCAAUGGUACAAUAAAGUUAAGUCAGCAACCGUCUACCAGACUGCAAGAUUCAUCUCUUCCAAAGGAUGUCGUACCUUUCCAGAUACACUGUGUUUUGUGUGGAUAAGAAAUGCAGAGUGGUACCACCAAACACCUAAGCCACCAUUCCCCUAACAGACAAUAGGCUCAUGGGGACAGUUCCUGCAAUUUACAGAAAAGCUCUCAAUUGUAGCCCUACGAACUUCAGAUACUGCUGAUGGUGAAGCUUGGGUGCACCGGGCCGGUUUUCCAGCCUUGUGGAAUCAACCAGCUGAACUGGGGCCCGGAAUUAUAUAAGACUCCUUAGCAGCAUGAGUGCCAGCCAGUCAUUGCUGUUCUUGCAUUGCUGAGGAGGACAGUCCUGCCAACAUAACAGUUUGUUCAAUAACAGGAGACAAACAGAAACACAGAGGUGCUAUACAUUCUGAUGGAAAAACAAAAGCAUCUCCCAUCAUUUUGGCGUGGCUCAGAUCAAGAGGAGAAUUUUAAGAAAGGUGAUGGUUGGGCACACACAAGAAGACAUAGAUCACAGGUGUCUAGCCAUAUGAGUAGAUAGGAGUGUCACACUCUGCCAAACUUACUUCAUCAGACGAGCAGAAAGCUUCUCAAGAUCCCGCACUGCACACUAAGACAUAGUCUUUGACUACAACAAGGUGAUGAAAGUACAGAGAGGUCCAAUUGAAAUCAAUUCUGUGCUGCGUCAUUUCUUCAUUCUGGAAGUCGAUGGACAUGAUUUAUCAUGGCAUCAAGUGUGCAGUUUGCCGACUAUCAGCAGUCUUGUUCACCAGCUGUGCAACUUGAGCUGGUAGCUUUAUUGCUUGAAGCCACUGCAUAAGAGGGGGGAGGUGCAGGCUCAUCAAAAAGUCUCAAAAGUUGAAACUAGGAAUAGAAGUUUAUCAAGAGAGUGAAUCUAUUUUGAAAACAAUUGUUACAAUGAUUUGGUUUCCUUUGAAACUUGAUACAUACUAUGAAUUGAGAUGCUUAAAUAAAAUAACGCUAUUCAAAUAUCAGGAAACUGCCUUUUUCAUACUAAAGGGUAAAUGAUGUCGCCAUUUCCUGUAUGUAUUUAAAUAAGAUAUGUCUCCACAAUUAAUAUUUUUAUGGAAUUUUUCUCAACCUAAUGAAUGAGAUUAAAUUGUACAGCGUUAUAUGAGCUCAAUAUGUGUUUUCUCAUUCUUUAAAAUUGGUGAAAAAUUGUCAGAAAAUAAUUAGACCAGUAUCCAUUACUGCAAUCAUACAAUCAAAUAUACAGGGACAAGCCCACUGGGCAUAUAAUAUAAUUAAACCCUGUUUAGGGGCACGAGGCAAACAGAGUUACUUUCAAACGUUAAAGCUGCACUCUCACACUUUGGAUGUUUUGACAACCUUUUUCAUUUUAUGUCUUGGAUUGGAACCAUCCAAUUUUUGCGAAAAAUUAAAUCCCAGAUUUUUCUAUUUAAGUUAAAACAUUGAUGUUUUUUAUGCACUUUUCUUAAACUGUUAGUAACAUUAAUUUUCGAACGGAAAUAUGAAAUCUGCGCUCUGAUCUUUAGUCAGCAAUCUUUUAUCAUUGGUUUGCAGAUAAUUACGCAAAAACUUGCUCAUUCGAAGACAAAAAAAGUUGUGGAAACGGUAUAUCUGUGAGAGUGCAGCUCUAAAUGUUUAAUUGCUUGAUUUUACUACUGUAUUGGAAAUUACAGGGAUUGGGGUAUAUUUUUAGUGUUUUUAUUGCUUGUUUUUGAUUCAUACAGUCAUACAUUAUUCUUCAGGGCACAACUUUCAAAUAAACA